UUGAGGACUUGUGGCCUUUGUAAACGCCGGUUGGCUCAUGGGAAAGAUAUUUACAUGUACAGAGGGGAUACGGCUUUUUGUAGUGUAGAGUGCAGAGAACAACAGAUGAAGAAUGAUGAAAGAAAAGAAAAGAGUUUAGUGAUGGCAUCAAAGAAAGAAGAUCGCCAUGCAUCACCAUCCACAGCAGCAGUCUUGGAGCUUGAUGUAGCUG
rnacentral:misc_RNA from 1 species